ACUUUCAACAACGGAUCUCUUGGCUCUCGCAUCGAUGA
rnacentral:rRNA from 1 species